rnacentral:tRNA from 1 species
GGCUCUGUGGCUCAACUGGAUAGAGCAGCCCCCUCCUAAGGGGCAGGUUGGUGGUUCGAGUCCACCCAGAGUCACCA